ensembl:lncRNA PCBP1-AS1 PCBP1 antisense RNA 1
GAACACAAAAUGGCGACACGUGGUUAGCAUUCGUCGCCAACGAGAAAUUGGGAGGAAGACAAACAUAAAGAUGAAGUGCUUAAUUCAAGGUCACACAAUGUCGGGGAUGGACCUCCAGAUUUCCUUACUGACCUGCAUUAUCUUGUGGAUACCUGAGUGAAUUCCACACCACCCAUUUUAUAGAUGAAACCACUGAGACAUGGAGCAAUUGACUGAGUAGUCACUGCCCCACCCCUGCCUGGAGCCUCACACAUGACUCGCCUCCUCUCAGUGACCACAGGUUGGUUGAGGGGUUUAACAAGGCUAAGAAGUACUUAUCCUGUAUUACAUGAAGGAAAUGAAAUAAAAAGACUGCAGCCCCACUCCCAGCUACUCAGUGAGGUGGUAGCUAGGUGAGACGUGGUCUUGUAACACAGUGGUUAAGAAUGUGACUUUGGAGCCAGCCUGCUAGGGGCUGAAUUCUGACUCAGCCAUUUACUAACUGUGUGACCUUAGGUCACAGAAUUUUCCACACUCCUUGACAGAGGUGCUUAACCCUUAUCCAUCAGCAUUCUCAGACAGCACCUCCGGUUAGGGACAGUAUCUGACCGUCCGACAUCCCUGCAGCCCCCAUGUGUCACACAGACUCAGCCUCAGGUAGAUGGUUUCCGUAGAUGGUGGCUUUCUUUGGACCCUUGACAUCAACCAGUUACUAUUUGACUCUUCUGCAGAACCCCAUGUUGACCCCUGCUUUGAGGUGGCAGAGUUAACACUACUCUUCGUUAUAAGCUCUCGUCUGGGGCAACUCAGAAGAACGGGACCAGAUGUGCAGAGGUAAUGAAUACCAGGGAAUCAGGAAACCACUGGAUCAGUUCUUUGAGCCACAGAACAACACUCAUCCCAGCAGCUGGG